rnacentral:rRNA from 1 species
UGGGGAAUAUUGCACAAUGGGCGCAAGCCUGAUGCAGCCAUGCCGCGUGUGUGAAGAAGGCCUUCGGGUUGUAAAGCACUUUCAGCGAGGAGGAAGGUGGUGAACUUAAUACGUUCAUCAAUUGACGUUACUCGCAGAAGAAGCACCGGCUAACUCCGUGCCAGCAGCCGCGGUAAUACGGAGGGUGCAAGCGUUAAUCGGAAUUACUGGGCGUAAAGCGCACGCAGGCGGUUUGUUAAGUCAGAUGUGAAAUCCCCCGGGCUCAACCUGGGAACUGCAUUUGAAACUGGCAAGCUAGAGUCUCGUAGAGGGGGGUAGAAUUCCAGGUGUAGCGGUGAAAUGCGUAGAGAUCUGGAGGAAUACCGGUGGCGAAGGCGGCCCCCUGGACGAAGACUGACGCUCAGGUGCGAAAGCGUGGGGAGCAAACAGAUUAGAUACCCUGGUAGUCACGCCCUAAACGAUGUAACUAGUUGUUGGGGUUCAUUUUCCUUAGUAACGUAGCUAACGCGUGAAGUUGACCGCCUGGGGAGUACGGUCGCAAGAUUAAAAACUCAAAUAAUU